rnacentral:rRNA from 1 species
AUUGAACGCUGGCGACAUGCCUUACACAUGCAAGUCGAACGGCAGCACGGGUGCUUGCACCUGGUGGCGAGUGGCGAACGGGUGAGUAAUACAUCGGAACAUGUCCUGUAGUGGGGGAUAGCCCGGCGAAAGCCGGAUUAAUACCGCAUACGAUCUACGGAUGAAAGCGGGGGACCUUCGGGCCUCGCGCUAUAGGGUUGGCCGAUGGCUGAUUAGCUAGUUGGUGGGGUAAAGGCCUACCAAGGCGACGAUCAGUAGCUGGUCUGAGAGGACGACCAGUCACACUGGGACUGAGACACGGCCCAGACUCCUACGGGGGGCAGCAGUGGGGAAUUUUGGACAAUGGGCGAAAGCCUGAUCCAGCAAUGCCGCGUGUGUGAAGAAGGCCUUCGGGUUGUAAAGCACUUUUGUCCGGAAAGAAAUCCUUGGCCCUAAUACGGUCGGGGGAUGACGGUACCGGAAGAAUAAGCACCGGCUAACUACGUG